GAUGAACGCUGGCGGCGUGCCUAAUACAUGCAAGUCGAGCGAACGGACGAGAAGCUUGCUUCUCUGAUGUUAGCGGCGGACGGGUGAGUAACACGUGGAUAACCUACCUAUAAGACUGGGAUAACUUCGGGAAACCGUAGCUAAUACCGGAUAAUAUUUUGAACCGCAUGGUUCAAAAGUGAAAGACGGUCUUGCUGUCACUUAUAGAUGGAUCCGCGCUGCAUUAGCUAGUUGGUAAGGUAACGGCUUACCAAGGCAACGAUGCAUAGCCGACCUGAGAGGGGGAUCGCCCACCUGGGAACGGGAACCCGGUCCAACCCCCUACGGGGGGCAGCAGUGGGGAAUCUUCCGCAAUGGGCGAAAGCCGGACGGGGCAACGCCGCGGGGGUGAGGAAGGUUUUCGGAUCGUAAAACCCUUUUAUUAGGGAAAAAAAUAUGUGUAAGUAACUGUGCACAUCUUGACGGUACCUAAUCAAAAAGCCACGGCAAACUACGU
rnacentral:rRNA from 1 species